GAUCAUGGCUCAGGACGAACGCUGGCGGCGUGCCUAAUACAUGCAAGUCGAACGAGAGCGACCGGUGCUUGCACUGGUCAAUCUAGUGGCGAACGGGUGAGUAACACGUGGGUAACCUGCCCAUCAGAGGGGGAUAACAUUCGGAGACGGAUGCUAAAACCGCAUAGGUCUUCAAACCGCAUGGUUUGAAGAGGAAAAGAGGCGCAAGCUUCUGCUGAUGGAUGGACCCGCGGUG
rnacentral:rRNA from 1 species